CUGGCGGCGUGCUUAACACAUGCAAGUCGAACGGAAAGGCCCUGCUUUUGUGGGGUGCUCGAGUGGCGAACGGGUGAGUAACACGUGAGUAACCUGCCCUUGACUUUGGGAUAACUUCAGGAAACUGGGGCUAAUACCGGAUAGGAGCUCCUGCUGCAUGGUGGGGGUUGGAAAGUUUCGGCGGUUGGGGAUGGACUCGCGGCUUAUCAGCUUGUUGGUGGGGUAGUGGCUUACCAAGGCUUUGACGGGUAGCCGGCCUGAGAGAGUGACCGGCCACAUUGGGACUGAGAUACGGCCCAGACUCCUACGGGAGGCAGCAGUGGGGAAUAUUGCACAAUGGGCGGAAGCCUGAUGCAGCAACGCCGCGUGCGGGAUGACGGCCUUCGGGUUGUAAACCGCUUUCGCCUGUGACGAAGCGUGAGUGACGGUAAUGGGUAAAGAAGCACCGGCUAACUACGUGCCAGCAGCCGCGGUGAUACGUAGGGUGCGAGCGUUGUCCGGAUUUAUUGGGCGUAAAGGGCUCGUAGGUGGUUGAUCGCGUCGGAAGUGUAAUCUUGGGGCUUAACCCUGAGCGUGCUUUCGAUACGGGUUGACUUGAGGAAGGUAGGGGAGAAUGGAAUUCCUGGUGGAGCGGUGGAAUGCGCAGAUAUCAGGAGGAACACCAGUGGCGAAGGCGGUUCUCUGGGCCUUUCCUGACGCUGAGGAGCGAAAGCGUGGGGAGCGAACAGGCUUAGAUACCCUGGUAGUCCACGCUGUAAACGGUGGGUACUAGGUGUGGGGUCCAUUCCACGGGUUCCGUGCCGUAGCUAACGCUUUAAGUACCCCGCCUGGGGAGUACGGCCGCAAGGCUAAAACUCAAAGGAAUUGACGGGGCCCCGCACAAGCGGCGGAGCAUGCGGAUUAAUUCGAUGCAACGCGUAGAACCUUACCUGGGUUUGACAUGGAUCGGGAGUGCUCAGAGAUGGGUGUGCCUCUUUUGGGGUCGGUUCACAGGUGGUGCAUGGCUGUCGUCAGCUCGUGUCGUGAGAUGUUGGGUUAAGUCCCGCAACGAGCGCAACCCUUGUUCACUGUUGCCAGCACGUUAUGGUGGGGACUCAGUGGAGACCGCCGGGGUCAACUCGGAGGAAGGUGGGGAUGACGUCAAGUCAUCAUGCCCCUUAUGUCCAGGGCUUCACGCAUGCUACAAUGGCUGGUACAGAGAGUGGCGAGCCUGUGAGGGUGAGCGAAUCUCGGAAAGCCGGUCUCAGUUCGGAUUGGGGUCUGCAACUCGACCUCAUGAAGUCGGAGUCGCUAGUAAUCGCAGAUCAGCAACGCUGCGGUGAAUACGUUCCCGGGGCUUGUACACACCGCCCGUCAAGUCAUGAAAGUUGGUAACACCCGAAGCCGGUGGCCUAACCGUUGUGGGGGAGCCGUCGAAGGUGGGACUGG
rnacentral:rRNA from 1 species